rnacentral:rRNA from 1 species
AUGCUGAGCUCGUCGGCGGCGAUGGGGAUGGGGCUGGGGGGCUACGGCCAGCAGCAGCAGCAGCAGAUGCAGAUGCAGAUGCAGCGGGGCGCGGGGCCGGUGUUCACGCCGGCGCAGUGGGCCGAGCUGGAGCAGCAGGCGCUGAUUUACAAGUACCUCAUGGCAGGCGUGCCCGUGCCGCCCGAUCUCCUGCUCCCCAUCCGCCCCCACCACCCCGCCGCCGGCGCCGCCGGAACCACCUUCUCCUUCGCCAGCCCCGCCGCCUCGCCCUUCUACCACCACCACCAUCCCUCCAUGAGUUACUACGCCUACUAUGGCAAGAAGCUCGACCCGGAGCCGUGGCGGUGCCGGCGCACCGACGGCAAGAAGUGGCGGUGCUCCAAGGAGGCGCACCCCGACUCCAAGUACUGCGAGCGCCACAUGCACCGUGGCCGCAACCGUUCAAGAAAGCCUGUGGAAUCCAAGUCUGCUUCCCCUGCGCACCAGUCGCAGCAGCCCCCGCUGUCCGCCGUCACGUCCGCGGCCCGCGACGCCGAGCCGCUCCCCUCCCUCCCGGCUGGGGCUAAAACCCAUGGCCUGUCCCUCGGCGGGGCUGGCUCGUCGCAGAUGCACGUCGACGCCUCAUCAUACGGCGGCAAAUACUCCCUUGGAGCUAAAUCUGAUGUGGGUGAACUGAGCUUCUUCUCUGGAGCAUCAGGAAACAACAACAGGGGCUUCACCAUCGAUUCCCCAACGGACAGCUCGUGGCACUCGAUGGGGUCCAGCCUGCCCCCGUACCAACUGUCGAAACCUAGAGAUUCCGGCCUCAUGCAAGGCGGCUUCUCGUAUUCCCACUAUGAGCCGUCGCAGGAGCUUGGGCAGGUAACCAUCGCCUCGCUGUCCCACUCCCAGGAGCAGGACUGCCGCUCUUUGGGUGGUGGAGGUGGAGGAGGUGGAGGUGGAGGUGGAGGGCUCAUGGGAAAUGUCAAGCAGGAGAACCAGCCGCUGAGGCCCUUCUUCGACGAGUGGCCGGGGAGGCGGGACUCGUGGUCGGAGAUGGACGACGAGCGCUCCAACGGCACCUCCUUCUCGACGACCCAGCUCUCGAUCUCCAUCCCGAUGCCUCGAUGCGAUUGA